AACGAACGCUGGCGGCAUGCCUAACACAUGCAAGUCGAACGAAGCCUUCGGGCUUAGUGGCGCACGGGUGCGUAACGCGUGGGAAUCUGCCCUUGGGUUCGGAAUAACAGUUAGAAAUGACUGCUAAUACCGGAUGAUGUCUUCGGACCAAAGAUUUAUCGCCCAAGGAUGAGCCCGCGUAGGAUUAGGUAGUUGGUGGGGUAAUGGCCCACCAAGCCGACGAUCCUUAGCUGGUCUGAGAGGAUGAUCAGCCACACUGGGACUGAGACACGGCCCAGACUCCUACGGGAGGCAGCAGUGGGGAAUAUUGGACAAUGGGCGAAAGCCUGAUCCAGCAAUGCCGCGUGAGUGAUGAAGGCCUUAGGGUUGUAAAGCUCUUUUACCAGGGAUGAUAAUGACAGUACCUGGAGAAUAAGCUCCGGCUAACUCCGUGCCAGCAGCCGCGGUAAAACGUCUAACUG
rnacentral:rRNA from 1 species